GAUGAACGCUGGCGGCGUGCCUAAUACAUGCAAGUCGAGCGAACAGACGAGGCGCUUGCUCCUCUGACGUUAGCGGCGGACGGGUGAGUAACACGUGGAUACCCUACCUAUAAGACUGGGAUAACUUCGGGAAACCGGCGCUAAUACCGGAUAAUAUAUUGAACCGCAUUGUUCAAUAGUGAAAGACGGUUUUGCUGUCACUUAUAGAUGGAUCCGCGCCGCAUUAGCUAGUUGGUACGGUAACGGCUUAUCAAGGCUACGAUGCGUAGCCGAACUGAGAGGGUGAUCGGCCACACUGGAACUGAGACACGGUCCAGACUCCUACGGGAGGCAGCAGUAGGGAAUGUUCCGCAAUGGGCGAAAGCCUGACGGAGCAACGCCGCGUGAGUGAUGAAGGUCUUCGGAUCGUAAAACUCUGUUAUUAGGGAAGAACAAAUGUGUAAGUAACUAUGCACGUCUUGACGGUACCUAAUCAGAAAGCCACGGCUAACUACGUG
rnacentral:rRNA from 1 species